GCCCAGACUCCUACGGGAGGCAGCAGUGGGGAAUAUUGCACAAUGGGCGGAAGCCUGAUGCAGCGACGCCGCGUGAGGGAUGACGGCCUUCGGGUUGUAAACCUCUUUCAGUAGGGAAGAAGCCGUAAGGUGACGGUACCUGCAGAAGAAGCGCCGGCUAACUACGUGCCAGCAGCCGCGGUAAUACGUAGGGCGCAAGCGUUAUCCGGAAUUAUUGGGCGUAAAGAGCUCGUAGGCGGUUUGUCGCGUCUGCCGUGAAAGUCCGGGGCUCAACUCCGGGUCUGCGGUGGGUACGGGCAGACUAGAGUGAUGUAGGGGAGACUGGAAUUCCUGGUGUAGCGGUGAAAUGCGCAGACAUCAGGAGGAACACCGAUGGCGAAGGCAGGUCUCUGGGCAUUAACUGACGCUGAGGAGCGAAAGCAUGGGGAGCGAACAGGAUUAGAUACCCUGGUAGUCCAUGCCGUAAACGUUGGGCACUAGGUGUGGGGGACAUUCCACGUUUUCCGCGCCGUAGCUAACGCAUUAAGUGCCCCGCCUGGGGAGUACGGCCGCAAGGCUAAAACUCAAAGGAAUUGACGGGGGCCCGCACAAGCGGCGGAGCAUGCGGAUUACUUCGAUGCAACGGGAAGAACCUGACCAACGCUUUACAUGGCCUGGAAAUACCUGGAAACAGGUGCCCC
rnacentral:rRNA from 1 species